AACUGGUCGAUAUGUUUUUAGUUACGUAUGUUUUUUUCUUCUUUUCAACACAGGCUUUUUCAAACUUAUAAGUUCUCCACAAUUGUCUCCAUAUUGGAAGCUGUUCAACUCUCUAAUGAUGAGGUAUCCAUGUGGAGAUAAAGCACAUCCCUGAACAACUUAAUUCUUCAUUAAAGAGAUGUGUUCUAUAUUCAUGGGCCCGUUUUCUUGCAUAUCUCUUACUGACUGGGAAAUGCAGAACUCAUUUGAUUCAUGUUGGCCUAGCCUAAAGGAGUUGCCCAGCUGGAAUAGUAAAAUAAUUCAGACAUGUAAGGGUAAGUAACUGAAGACAGGUCUCUUUUGUUAAAAGUACUGAAAAGUAUGUGCAGUUAAAAUAACAAGAGGACACAUUCAAGUUCCAUUAAAUAUAAAUAGCUACCUUUCUCGAUUGCUUUCUAUUGUGCAAAAUUACUGACUUGCUUAAAACAAAAGUAUUAUAAAAUACGUCUUUUACCUGGGUAAUGAUGUUGGUUUAUCGUCUGUUAGAAGGUGGUAUUUGAUACUGGGAAAGUAUAAUUUUCUUGCUUUUAGUCAUAAGU
rnacentral:lncRNA from 1 species